UGACCUCAAGUUCAUGAAUAACGUUUUCACAAGUGGUUCAUUCAAAUUCUCUGAGAUUUCAUCCCCAAACAAAUUUUGCAGUGUCAAAAAUAACUUGUUAUUCUCUUGUUGAACACUUGUCGUCCAAGCCGGAAUUGCAAAAUUGAUAACAUCAAAAACAUUAAUCUCUCCUAAAUCAGUUUCAUGUAUCACUUCAUAGCCUUCAUAUAUUCUAUGAUAAAAUUUGUUUUGAUAAUACAUCUUGAAAACUCUUAUUAUCCCAGCAUCACAAGGUUGAAUCUCAAAAUAUUUUAUAAACUAAUAAUUAUUAAUUUAUCGAUUAAAUAAUACCCCUACAAAAUAAUAAUAUUUCACGAUCCCAACUAUAUUAAUUUAGUGAGGUUUUAUUAUAUAUAUAAGUCAAAAUAUUCUCUCUUAGAACAUAGAUAUUAUCGAGAAUAACAUUAUACAUAAACUCACAAUAAAAAUUUAAUCAAAAUCAUCUUAUCAUAUCAGAAUUGUAUGCAUUGUUUUAUUAGAGUACCAUUAUUUUGAAUAGUGAAAUAAUAAUAUUAUAAGCAAUGUGUUAUAUAUACUUGCGCUUAUUUUAAUUUUACUUUCAUAUUGAGUUGAAUUUGAAUAAUUCAGAUUCAUGGUCAUUAAGUGAAAAUAAUUAGGAAAAGGAUUAUAAAUGUUCUUAAGAAACAAAUUAAUUACCCAUGCCUCUUAAGUCUUAGCUUAAUGUUUGCUUAAAUAAUUAUACAAAUAACCACCAUUUUGGGCUAAUAUUAAACGGUGCAACACUCUUUUCUUUUUUGGUCUCUUAGUUGUCACCAUCUUGAUAUUAUUGUAUUUAGUUUUGUCCACCUUACUUUAAUGUCUUCAUUCCUUUUUAGGUUAGUUUAACUUUUGAUCCAUUUUUUGUCUUUUAUAUUAUUUUAAAUAAAGAUAAAAAUAAAGAAAAAAUUACUUAACUACAUAUUUUCUUUUACCCUAUUUUCUAUUAUUUCCUACCAUUCUAAAAAAUUACAAAAAUCUCUCUUUUUUAUAAUUUCUCUCAUUUUUUUCGGAUACAUCACUAUAAACUAUCACCCCAAGAUUUAUUUUGUGAUUUAUCAAUUGCAAGUUAUUGAAGAGGUAGUUCUUCUCCAUCCAUUUUUUUCUUUCACUUCAUCAUGUAUUAAUUUUUUAUUUUUUUUAGAUUUUUCAUCUACAAAUUUAGUCGAAGAAGGAUGCAUCUUCAAUUUCAAAAUCAAAUUGUGGAAAAAACGCCCAAAAAAGGGUUGGGUGGGGGGGAGGUCGAGUUGUUGGUGGCUUCGGUAAGGGCUUUGGGUUGAGAUCCAUGGGUAACGUCAUUGUUGAAAAUGAAAAAAAAAACUACGAAAGUUGAUACAGAGUAAAAGAGAAAGUGUAGAAAUAUUUCUUCAUCAUUCUUUUUUUUUGCUUUCAACAGAUCAUAAUGUUGACUUUUUUUUCCAAUUUUUUGUUGUUCAUCUUUUUCCGAUACAUAUGGGUACAAUUUUGUAUGUAUCUAGUUGUUUUUGUUUCUUAAAUUAAUAUAUAAUGUAUUUGUUUCACCAUUAUGAUACAUUACAAUGUUAUCAAGAAUUGUUGGUGGCUCCGGUAAGGGCUUUGGGUUGAGAUCCAUGGGUGACGUCAUUGUUGAAAGUGAAAAAAAGCUACAAGAGUUGAUACAGAGCAAAUGAGAAAAGUGUGGAAGGAUUUCUUCAUCAUUUUUUUUUGCUUUGCUAGAUCAAAUUGUUAAUUUUUUGUUACUUUGAGCAAAUCUUUUAAUGUAUCUACUUGGUUUUGAUUCUUAAAUUAAUGUAUAAUUCGUUUGUUUCACCUUUAUGAUACAUUACAAUUUUAUCAUGUAUAGUAUAUCGUUUUCAAAUAUUAGUUUUGAUACAUAACCCUAAUUUAUUUUAACACAAAUUAGUAUGUAUAAUGAUCAUAGUCAUGUAUUGGAUACACAACUAUUACAUAUUUCGUUAUCUUUUACUACCGAUACAUACAUGAUACACCCAGCCUUAUUCAACUAGUAGAAGACUGUAUCUGUAGACACUAUCAAAAAUUACCAUUGAUACAUUAACACUAAUAUUUUAUAAUAAAAUCUAUUUGUAUCAUAUUCAUAGUUAUGUAUAUGAACAUAACUUUGUUAUGUAUAUAAUAUAGUUAUGUAUCAGAUGUUGCGAUGUAUCACAUGUUGUUAAGUAUCUGCAACACUGUUUUAUAAAUAAAUCAAUGUAUAUCAUAUUCAUUGUUUUUUAUAUGAUACAUAACUAUAUUAAAUUGUCAACUUUUUAAAAAUCUAUUACGAUUUGGAUGAGAUUUGAGAGAAGAAAAAUUGGAAUUUGAAUUGUUUGAAGCUGUUAUUUGGGAGAGAUUGACAUCAAUUAGAUUUGCAUGAUUUGGGGAAUUGAUAUUUAAUUUUAUAUCUAAUUUCCUUUUUAAUCUCAACAAACUAGUUGUAUAUUGUAUCAAAUGUGAUGUAUCCAGAAGAAUGAGAUGUAUCCGGAUGACAGCAAUUUUAGGGCAUUUUUGUAAAUUGGAUAAGAGUAGGAAUAAAAUGUAAUUUGAUCCUUACACUAUGGUAUUCCUAAAAAAUUUACAAAAAUAAAAACAUAAUACAUAAAUAUAUUAUUUAACUUAAUCUUAACUUAUAUUUAUGCCCUUCAACUUUUGACAUGGACAAAUAGAUGCUUAAACGUGUACAAAGUUAAGUAUAUAGACACACACCCUACGUAACAUCCUAAAUGACAAUUUGCAUCCUACAUGUAUUAUGUCACGUAGGACUCAUGUGUCUACUUGUUCAAUUUUAUGCAAGUUUAAGUGCAUUACCAAAGUUAGAGGGGAUAAAUGUAAAACGAAACUAAGUUACAAGACACAUUUAUAUAUUAUGUCUAAAAAUAAAUAUAGUAACUAACAAUAGUCUCAUAAAAAUAUAGAAAAAAUAAAUAAUUAUACUAAAGUGGUAAAUAAAAAAAAUAAAAUAUAUAUAUGCUAAAAUCACUAAUUUAUUUAUUAAAAUUAAUAUAUAUAUAUAUAUAUAUAUAUAUAUUAAUUUUAAUGGUAAAUAAAAAAAAUAAAAUAUAUAUAUGCUAAAAUCACUAAUUUAUUUAUUAAAAUUAAUAUAUAUAUAUAUAUAUAUAUAUAUUUGUUAAACGUUUAUUUUUUAUCUCGAAAUAAACGUCAAGAACUUUUGAUCCUUAUUUUCCCUUUGGAUAAUCUUUAAAAUCAAAAUUUGUUAAACGUAAUUUUUUACCAAUAGGAUAAACGAGGUCAAAAGUUCAAGUUCACACAUCUUUAAAAUCAUUUCCUUGAAUCAUAUGAAAAAUUUGAGGAAAAGCCCAAAAAACGACUUCGUUUUACUACCCAGACAACUAUCAGCGACCGUUGAUGUAAAAGGCGGGAGUGGACAGAAAAGGCGGGAAAUAUUUUAACAGUUAAAUAAAAUCCUCUACUAAAAUAACCCCCAAACUCCUUUAUAUUACACUUUCGCCACGCCUAUUCGUCUUCUUCCCCCAAAAAAACUCUCCCAAAUACUCACAGAGAGAGAAAUUUUCGCAAACAUGAAGAAAGCAAAAGACUUAGAAGAACUCAUCAAGUAUUGCGAACCUUAUUCCGAUGCUCAGGAGGAAUUACUAAACUGCCCUUUUGUGUAUGAGUACGAGGACACUCCACAAUCCUCGGCGUCGGUGGCAGUGACGCCGUCAGAGCCCACCGGAAUACUCAUGUUAUCUGUUCCAUCUACUGAUACAGAUGGACAAAGUUCCCCUCCCGAAAACGAAGAGUUCGAAACCCCGCCGGAGCAAAACAACUCGUCUCAGUCCUAUUUUUCUGGUUCCGAUGAUCCGAAACCGAGCACGAGUGCAGGUGUAGAUUGUCAACAGAAUAAUAACGGAGAUACUGAAGCUGUGAAUCGUGAUAAUCGGGAGGUUGUAGAUUUAGGAAAUGAUUCUGAUGAUCUAGGGUUUCCUAAUCGCCCAGAAAUUGAUGUUCAGGAUACAGGUGAGUUUGAAGAACAACUGCAGAAGAGGUAUAAGGUUUCUGAGGAGGAUUUGGAUGUGACAAAUUCAGUUCAGAGAAUAGUGAAGAAAGAGCCAAUUGUGAUUGAAAUUAAUCAGACUCGAACUCGGGAAGUAGAUACGGAGGUGAUAGGAGGUGGAAUUGAAAGAAAUGCAGAUUCUUCUACUGUGAAAAUGCCUGAGAGACGCGAGGAGGAGGAAGAUGGAGGAGAAAUGUGCGAUAAUGGUGAAAGAGGUGUAGAUGACAAUGAGACAUUGAAUGGUGGUGGCACUGGGGAAAUGGAUUGUAAUGGAAUAAAGGAUGGUGUUCGUGAAAGAGGUGCGGCGAGUAUGAAUUUAGACGUGAAUGAAAAGUUAAAUGGUGUUUGCGCGAAGGAAAUGCAUUCAAAUGGGAUAACAACAAGUGUUGGUGUGGAUGGUGGUUGUGCUGGAAGUGAUAAAGGAAGGCGUGAAUUGCCAUUAUCGAUGAGGGGAGGAGACAAGAGUGUUGGAUCCUUCGAAGAAGUUGAGAGGAGGGAAACCACGAAAGGGAGGUUUAAGGAUUUAGUGGAGGCCUUCUCUAUGAUUGUCGGGGAUGUGAGUGGUGAUGAUAAUAAUGAUAAAAAUGGUGCUGAUUUCCUCGAGACUGCCAAGAGAUGCGGAUUGAGUUUUCCUCGGCCUAGAUGGUGGCCACCGGAGGGAUUUGCUGAUUGAUUCACUAUCCAGUGAAGUACAUCUUUUGGGAAGACAUGGAAGAGUUCAGGAGAUAGAAGGGUUCACACUAACUGCAUAUUCGAUUGCCAGGUCCGUUGAUGGUUUGGAUACACAAGUGUGAAAGCAAUAGCUUUAAGCUACUACAAUGAUAGUAGUACAAAUUGGUUGAAUCUUUCUCGAUCAUCCAGGCUGGAGUGACACGCUCAUCGUGUUGACUUCACCAUUUACUGAAAUUUGAAAGAACAUUAGAUGAUGCUCCAAACUAGUACAUUGCUAUCAAGAUGGUGUUAUUUAUGCAAUGAAAUGUAUAAUAUGAUUGUUUGUGUAGAGAUUCGGAUAAAACUUUGAGACUUUCUGUUGAUAAUGUUUGAUUGGUGGUGUGUCAAUCAUAUGGAUGCAGAGAUAUUUGAAGUGUUUGAUCACCAAAGCCUUGUCUUUUGAUUGGCACCUAUGGAGGUUUUGUAUUGCUUCUUUUUCUAAAAUGAGAACUGCUCCUUCUUUUAUGAAUUAGGUGAUUCCAUAAAUGGGGUUUGGGUAUUGUAGAAUUAGGUGAUUUCCUUCCGUUUGUCUAAAGUUUUGAUAGACAAUUAUUUGAUACAUAUUAUGAUAGAAGAUAGCAACUUUGGAAUCCUUAGGCCUUGAUAAAGAGAACAUACUAAGCAAGCAACCCCGACCCCCCACCCACGCAACCAUUAUUUGCCUAUAUGUGGCAUUUCUAUCAAUCGGUGAAAAACUCACACAUACUGAGAGGGUACGAUUUCAAGGGAUGGACUUGCUUGAACAGCCAACCACGUGCUAUUCUAUUAGAAGAUGAAACCCAAAAGACCAUUAUUAACGUGUAGUAGAUGGCCUGAGUGGGUAAAAAAAGGUUGGUAGUAACUUUUCAUGUGUAGGAUGGAAAUUAGGUGGUGACUAAUUAGGUAGUGCAUAAAUUUUAAGCAACUUCAAGAUGAGAUCUGUCAUUGCCUAAUCUCAGUUUGUUAGAGGACUCUUGUUGGUGUCCUAGAUACAAAUUUCCAUCACACAACAGACAAGUUUGGCAAAAGGAUAAGCAUGGAAAGACUCAUCAAUCAUCAUCAACAAAACUAAAAGACAGAAGGGUGUCUUCAAUUUAAGUUAAAAAACAAAAAUCUCUAGACAUCACCACCUCUGCAUUUUCAGCUAUAUUGUACAAUUUGUCAACCUAUACAAAUGGAUGAAAAACAAGCAUAAUAUCCAUCCGCUAAAUCCAAAAUUUCGCUUAAUAUUAGGUUACCUGCAAAAAGGCAAAAGGCAACCAUCUGAAUCCCUUCGCGGAACUUUCUAUAUUUGGUAUGUGAUAUGCAGAGACAGUAAUGUGGUUUGGCCAAAUAAGGUUGUAAAUACGCUACAGACAGAAAGCCAAGUGUGAUAGUGUUUCUAGGGGUGGAUGAGGUGCGGGUAUAUGGAGCUACUGCUUGUGCUUGCUUGAGCUGCAAAACUUGCUGUUGGUAGGAGGAGUUCUGCCUGAGGGAAGGAGCUGUUGGAUGGCACAUCCAGCAGCAAGUCCUGAUCAGAACUUUCAUUUGUAAAACGGAAGGAAUUCUCAGAUGGCAAUGCGAAAAGGCUUUUUGGACUGAAGCAAGAGCUAUCAUUCUCCAUGAUUUCCUUCUGUUCAUAGCUGUUUUUCAUCGCCACCCUCUUGGGGCUCUUCAUUGUUGUGUUUACCCCUGAAGCAAAAUUCAAAUUAACUGUUAUUUCCGUCUGAAUUAAAAACAAGUUGAACCACACACUACACAAUAAUGGAGAAUAGGAUAGGUUUGAUUUCUUCUGAAAACAAUCAAUCAACUAAGCCUUGAUCCCGCUGCAAUGGGUAUAAAAAGCUCAUUUCGCAAGAACAAAUGGCUUCUAGUUUAGAUUAGAAAAUGCUUGAUAAAAGUUACGUACCACAAGACGUCAGUAUCCUAAUUGUUAUCACACCUUUUAUAUUCUCCCUUCAUGGUGGCAUGGAGGACCGGGGUGGAUCAUGUGGUCUAGAAAUACUAAUAAUCCUAUUGAACAUUUUAUAAUGCUUACCUAAUCAUAGAAAGUUGUGACUUUCGCAAAUAGUUGUUUUUACUAUUACAAGGUAACUGCCAGGAUGAAGAGCCAAAUAUACUAGCAAAAAAAAGAAAAUAAAUGGAGAAAUAGAAAGAGAUGCUGAGAUGUACUAAUUCAUUCACCAUUUAUUUAUAUUGAUUUCAGUUUCAAUUAUUGCAUUUCCUCCUAAACGUCAAAAGGCACGAACCAGGCUUUCUGAGUAAUCAUCUUUAGAAGAGAACAGGCCGUUGUAUAUGAUGAACAUAUUCUGUUCUUACCAGCUAGAUAAAGACGUUUGUGUAGAAUAAAAUACUCCCUCCGUUUCACAAAGAAUGACCUCCUUUCCUUUUUAGUCAGUUUAAAAAAGAAUGACCUCUUUCCUUUUUUGGUAACAUUUUACUUUUUGCUUUCCACGUGGCAUGUUUAAGACCACAAGAUUAAGGGCAAUUUUGUACAUUUGACAUAACUUUAAUUUAGGAUCACAAGAUUCAAAAGUCUUCUUUAUUUACUUAAACUCCGUGCCAAGUCAAACCAGGUCGUUCUUUAUGAAACGGAGGGAGUAGUUGGAUAAUUCAGUCACCUCAGAGGAUCAAAAGGUAAUGGAUACCAAGAUGCCUACUGUGUUCACGAUUUUCUUAUCCUCCUUCCCCAGCUUCUACAACUUCUUUAUAUUACCCACAUGACGCAGUACUCUUAACAUUUUAAUGAAGAUAAAGACCCGAGAUGUAAGUAUCUACUACAGUCUAUCAGGAAAAUUUGAAAAACUCCAAGUAUCUUGGGGUAAAACUUUGUUAUAUAAAGAAGCUAGUCUACCAGACAAGAGGAUUCGUAAAAUGCCAUAAAAGAAAUAAAAAGAGACAUGCAACGAACCUAAAUAUUUUGGAUGUUGCCCAUCGCGUGGUCUCUUCAUGUUCACAGAAUGACCUGUGCCAAAAACAUUGCUCCCUCCAGCAACUUCAGAACUACUGCUACUAUUUUUACAUUUCAUGUCCUGACAUAGAAGUAUAUUAGUUUUAAACUUCUAUCUAGCAAAUGUUGCAUAUAAGUGGGUGGAUCGCUCAUUGAAUUUUCAUAUGACAAAUCAUAAACAAGGCCUUACCUUAAGAAGAUUUACUUGUUCCACCCAUUUUGACUUCAUUAAAUAGCACAACAUAAACCUCUUCAGGUUUCUACAUUCUUCUACUGUCACCCCAGAUAACGAGUUAUCAAAAACGCCUUCUGCAAGAAGUUUCUGGAAGGAAGACAAAUUCUCCUCAAAUUGAGAGCUCUCGAACAUGCUCCUGAGACUGCAGAGAGAAUUGAAAAUAGGAAUAAGAUCAGAGCUCAACAAUGCAUUCUUCAAUCAGGCACCAGCACUUUAUGGUCCAAGUUCAACAUAACCAUCAAUUAUAUUUCUAAAGCCUGACUAGAACAAUUGAGAGAGGUGAAUCAAAAGAACAAGUGGUAAGCCCCAGAAAUGCAGCCUCUCAGUCAAAAGAUAAGUUCAUUCCUCCAUUUUUCUGGAAGGUUUUUCUUUUAAUCAAAUGCUCUUGUAAUCCAAAGUACAAAGAGAUCGUACAAACCUCUCGGGAGGUGAAAAAGAAUCAACCGGAGGUAAGUACUUUAGUAGUUGCUGUUGUUCAUCACUUGACAGAUGCCUUGUGAAUUCUUCAUAAUUAAGUACAUCCUGCAUAAAGAAUUGCCCACAAUCACAUUCAUUUCUGCAUAUUGCUUAUCUAAGAAAGUUUAAACUGUAGAGUCAUGUUUAGAUUCUUAAAGUAACUAUUAACAACUAAAAACAUGGUGAAAAACAAGCUCGAAAAUGGUUCUUUACCAUUAUAGAGGAAGCUUAUCCAUGCAAACUACCAUACUGUAAGAAUUUUCAGGUUAAAGUUUAUGCAUAAUGACAAUUAAAUGUAGAAGAUAAUUAUAACUCUAUGCAGAGAAUACCCAACUCAAAAGCCUGAGACGUAGGAAAACAGUGUGGAAUAGGAAAAUGUUCCGUCUAUACAGACAAGUGGACCUUGUAUGAAGUAUGAUAUGGUUGUAUGAUAUGAAGCAAUCAAAAGUUAUGCAUGAAAUAAAAGAGGCAGUAAGAUACCUUAAGGUCUAUGUGGCACAAUGGCGAAUUAUGAUGUCCAAGAAUCUGCAAUUUUUCAAGGUGGUCCCUGCUCCUGCAGUUCAAGAUGAAAUCAGAAAGAUGGGAAGUGUACACCAUCUCAAAGAAAAUAGUACCAAAGCUCUUAGACUAUUCAAUUAUGUAUCUGAAACCACCACAAGCAUUCUGUUAUGACAUGUUGCAGGGAAAACGUGGACCAUAUCAUGUUAACAAAAGUUUCUGUUCCACAUAUCAGUCUAUUUGUGUAGCCAUACCCUGUCAACCAUAGUAGCACAGUUAUGCAAUUUAACACUAUAUACUUUUGACUUCUUUUGGGACACGUGGCACAGUAUCUCAUUCUCAAGGCUAUAUGCUAUCCAGCAAUAAUGAAGAAAGUACCUUUUAAACUGUUCAUGUUCCACUCCUUGACCAGUAGGCUUCUGGGUUCUCUGAAUUACCAGGUUUGAUGAAUUGACACCCUUACUAAUAUUUACAGGUGGGGUAGUCAAUUGUGAAUAAGCUUCAUUGGAUGAAUGGUGCUUGUUGUCAACCGACAGAGAGCUGGCUUCUGAUUCUUCUUCUCUACCUAUUGAACUUGGAUGCCGAAUGAGCACACUUCCAUGUCCUAUUUCAACGGAGACCAUAGGCUUGUCACUUUCUAAAAGCAAAUCUUCUUCAGAAGAUCCAGAGAAGUAUGAGCAUUGUUGUUCAUGUAAGAUGGUAUACAGGUCUUUGGUAAGCUUUUCAACUGAAGAUUGCUUUGGACGAUUGACACAUGUUCUCUUCCUUGAAGGCACCGUUGCAUCCCAUAUAUUUGAUUGGGCGGGGCCUGAAAGCACCAUAAAGGGGUAAAUAUCUCAUGCAGCUAGAGUGAGAAUUCAGUAAAAGGUUUAUCGAACAAAGUCAGGAAGGAUGGAUUGACAAAAGAUACCAAUACAACUUUGAAGACAAUUAAUUCCUUGAGUUUAGGAGUUCAAUUGAAAGAAGAAAUAUAGCUAGACCACUAUAGAAGGUGCAGUAUGAUAAAUUGGUAUAACUGAUCAAAGAUGUAGAAAGAAGGAGCAGGUAAAACCAACAAUGACCACCUGUAUGAUUUCUCUGGUAGCUAUAAAAGAUUGUAUUAGUGUACAGAUAUAUAUAUUGAGGAUACAAGUCAUUAACUUCUAUCGAAGAGAAUGACCUUCACAGAAACUGAACACAGACCUUUUGGGGAAGCAGAAGAGGGUUGGUAAUGUUUUUUGAAAGGUAUGAAAAGUUGGCAGUGUAAAUGAGAGAGGAUGCAGCUUAAGUUGCCGUUUGCAACCCUGCAUUGCAAAAGAAUCUACCUGUCAAAUCACUUGCUUCAGCACUACCAAAUUGUCCAUAGCUUUCAGUGUUUGACACAGCAGAGCCGGAACUUGACCUAUUGCUUGUAUCUUCAUCCAAAGCCUUACGGUGGAAACCCUGAUGAUAUUCAGGAAGAAUUCCAAUUUCAGGAAUAUCAUGACUUUUCUUUCGUUUCAGCAUCUUGACCUCUUUGUUCUUAACAGGAAAGUUUUUGAAUCUUGAGACCCUGUAAUCUUCAAGAUCAUCUGGUUCAGCCCUAGCAUGCAGAGGAGUAUAGUUUACCAGUGUCCCUUUUGUUCGCCACCGAGAUCCACAUGCAUUGCAAAGUAUUGGCUUCUCUGGUGGUCCAUUACGCCAAAGAGGAGUGCCUGCAGCAUGAAUUCACCAUUUAAGACUCUACUCCAAUUAGAUAAUGUGGGAAGAAUGAGAGGCAUCUAAGAAGUAUGACAAUCCAGAAAUGAAUGUUUUCGCAGAAACAUCUUGCUCAUCCCAUGACAAAAUGAUAGUGUAAGCGUGUAAUAAGAAUUUUAACAAGAAUAUUUGUGGCGGAGAAAAUGAAGAGACAAUAGGACAGAGUGAUGAGUUGAAAAGGUAAGUAGUGAUUAUAUACACUGCAGGAUGCUCAACAUUUUCAAGCAUGGAAAGAAAGAAGGAGGAUCCAAUGAAUCGAAACUCAAAAAGGACUAUGAAUGCAACAAACAAACUUAUGGUUAAUUAAAAGAGAAAACAUCUCCUCCAAAUUCACUUAAUUUGAUUAAGAAGUUGCUCCUAUAUAACUAAGAGACAGAUGCGUAUGCAGAAGUCUAUAAGCAUGGCAGUGGUUCAUGCUGUAGACGGGAAGUUAAAUUUAUCAAUGGAUGGCCUCAGGGAGCAAGAAAACAAGAAAGAAUUGGAGAGACGAGGAAGAAUCUAAAAAGUAACUAAGAACAAAUCAAAUUUUCAUUCCCUGAUUUGCAUGAGCAAGAAACACAGAGGCAGAAAUCAUUUUACUGAAAAAUGUAUGAUGAGGAGCUGAACAAAGAGAUAAAUCAAGGUAACUCAAUAAUCAGGGUUAGAAGAGAACUGAGGGAGGUGUCCAGAAAGCCAAAAUGAAGUUCUCCAAACAAGAACUAAGCUGGAAACCAAACAGCACAUUGAGGAACUAAACUAGACAGAUUUGCAAUUAAAUAGUGGUAUAGGACAGACAUCUAAGGCUAUUUACUUGAAGAUAUUUACAUUCCCUCGAAAUGUGCCAUAAUUAAGUAUCGCCUAUAAUAUCUAGCCAAGUUUCAAAUUAUUAUUCAAACCAGUUUAUUUGCAUUCUUGCAACAAAAUGUGCUAGACCAGCUGAUGACAACGUAAUAGAGUCUCCAAUGUAACAAGUCUUUUCAAGACAACUUGAAAUGUUACAGCGACAAUGCGAGCAACAUAUGCAGCAGAAGACAAUAGGGUAAAGAAGAUAUCAUCCAAUGCCUGGAGGAUCUUGCUGCUUCUAGCUGUAGUUCAAACAUUAGGAAGUUUUUAAUGAACAGAUAACAAGAACAAGUGAAGGAGGAGAGUAUGAGGUCAUAUUAAGUUGAAAACAACGAACGCGAUUCAUGGGGAUUACUAAGAUAGGAGCGAAAACCUCAACCCUUUUCUAGUGAUCACUCAUCAAGAGCAUGCUACUAAAACAAGGGACCUGAAGCCAAAGUUGAUAAUGUAUAACUUUGAAGCAAUGAAACACAAAUGUCCCUAGGAAGAACAUCCUUUAAUCAAAUGGACUGACAAUUUGCUUAUAUGGAAUAGGAAAAUCCCCAUGUGUCAUAUCUUUACAUGCUAUCAAAGCCACAUUCAUCCAUGUUUGGGCUCCCGGUUCACGCUCCAACUGAGCCUCGGGUGUGAAGGGGGUCUUAGAAUCCCACAUUGAUUGGAUAAUGGACUGGUGGUUUGCUUAUAUGGACUUUGGUAAUCCUCCCCUUGUUCGCUAGCUUUUGGGGUUGAGUUAGACUCGAGUGUCAUAUCUUUACAAAUCACAAAGAUCAAAGAUCAGAUUCGUUAAUUUAGAAAUAGACCAAUCAACAUUUUCAAGUCAUUUUUGUGCUGCUUUCAUUCCCUAAAGAACCAUAUCAAUGCCACCUUCAGCAAGAACUCAAGUCUGCCCAAACAAUACAUUUCUCUAGAGAAAGUUUAUGUCUAAACUUAAUAGGGAAUUGGAAGAUCAGAAGUGAAGGAAAAUGGAUGCUGAGAAUAUUGAACACAAUCAAAACAUCUUCCAAUUGCAUUGGCAUUUGAAUGGAAUUAAAUUGAACUCUAAAUUGCCCAGUUACUAAGAGACUCAUGGCUAGAUUUUAGAAGACACUGGAGAAGUCAAUGGGCACUGAUAAAAAGAAGAUUGGGAACCAAAAGAAAUCCCAGUUUCAGAAACAAAAUCCAACUCAAAAUCCACAUUGAAUUCCAAAUAUGUAUUUGUAGUCUAUCUUGUCAACAACCCAAUAAUCCAAACAAAACAAAAUUCAAAAACCAAACUGAAUAAGAUGAACAACAACACAUAUUCCUCAUAUUUUUCCCCUUUUCAGAAAAAAUUUCCAUAUGGGACAUCCAGUAUUUUCAUAAUUCAACAACUAAUCUAAACAAACAACAUCAUAUAAAAUAACAAAGAACAAUUCUAUACUGGUAACAACCAAAGACUCAAUUUUUCUUGAAAAUUUCAAAACUUUAUUAUCAAAAACUUCAACACAAUCAAGAAUCAUUAACUCACUUGUAACACCACAGUGAUAGCAAGGCCCUUGCUUUCCCAUCUGUCCAAUAUAACUUUUUUUUCACCCUUGUACAAUUUUACAAAACUGAAAAUGCAAAAAGUUCCAAUUUUUUUUCUUCUUAUACAAAAUAAAAUUGUAUUAUCUAGAAGUUUUGAUUAUUCCCUUCAAUCCCUUUAUAUCAAAUAUACAUAUGGGUUCUUUUUUCUUGAAUAAACCCAAAGAAAGUUAUACAGAAAACACCACAACCAACAACAACAAAAAACAAGACUCAAAAAUAGUCUAUAAAAAGUCCCAAAAAAACCACUGAAUAGAGCAAAAAUUGUGAAGAAGUAAUUAAAAGAUUGAGAUGGGGUUUGUUGUUUUUGAGGUGAGAAUAAUAAUAGAGUGAAGAAAAGAAAAGUCCAUUAUAAAGGAAUCUAAUAAAUGGUUGGAAAAGAGGAAGGUGAAAAUGGGGAAGAAGAGAAGGUGGGUUGUGUUUAUUAUGUAUGACCUCUUUCUCUUUGUUCUUGUGUACCUUUU
rnacentral:lncRNA from 1 species